CUUCCGCAAUGGACGAAAGUCUGACGGAGCAACGCCGCGUGAGUGAUGAAGGCUUUCGGGUCGUAAAACUCUGUUGUUAGGGAAGAACAAGUGCUAGUUGAAUAAGCUGGCACCUUGACGGUACCUAACCAGAAAGCCACGGCUAACUACGUGCCAACAGCCGCGGUAAUACGUAGGUGGCAAGCGUUAUCCGGAAUUAUUGGGCGUAAAGCGCGCGCAGGUGGUUUCUUAAGUCUGAUGUGAAAGCCCACGGCUCAACCGUGGAGGGUCAUUGGAAACUGGGAGACUUGAGUGCAGAAGAGGAAAGUGGAAUUCCAUGUGUAGC
rnacentral:rRNA from 1 species